ACUUUUCAUGCUGCUGAAUGCUUUGCCAUGAUGGCAGCUGCUUUUGUUGCUCUUGUGGAGACCUUGAAGCUCCCAAAAUGCAAACACCAGGAGAUAGGGAUGUCAAACUGAAACAAAGAAGCCCAUGACCGGUCUCAUAAUUUUACCAAUAGUACCGCCAUCAGCCGCAAAGACGGCAAGCUCAAGCAGGCCAAUGAAGGUUGAGGUUUCGACUUCUACUGGAAUACAGUUCUUCUAAUCUCUAUACAGGGCUCAAGAAAUAGAAAGCGACUCGUGCUUCAA